UUUGAACGCUGGAUUCAGUUGGUAGAUCUGGUCAAAAGUUGUCAUUUGAGUGAUGAAGCUGACUCUCCUAUUUGGACUUUGGAGGCGAAUGGAGUGUAUUCGGCGAAAUCUUUUUAUAAACAAAUCAACUUUUGGGGUGUGGUCUAUGAUAUUGGUGACAAGCUUUGGAAAGUCCUUUGUUCUCAAAAAAUACAUGUGUUUCUUUGGCUAGGUGCUUAUAACAAGAUUCUUACCCGUGAUAAUUUGGCUAAGAGAAGACCUGUAGAAAAUUUAACUUGUGUGUUUUGCUCUGAAAACGAAUAUGUGCAACACUUGUUAUUUGAUUGUGUGAUUGCAAAACGGGUUUGGGAUUUUGUCUCUGAAGCUUUCGAUUAUCCUUACAUCAACAGUUUCAAUGAUGUGUGCGCCUUGUGGUAA
rnacentral:rRNA from 1 species